ACGCCUUAAACUAAUGAGUAAGGAAAAUAACGCUCCGGUGGAAUAACCGGUGUGCUGGACUAGUUCCAGGCCUAUCUUUGCAGGGCUCAGGCCUUCUCUGCGUGUCUUCUUACUCGCGAAGACGCGCCGAUGAUAGUGGCCUGCCU
rnacentral:snRNA from 1 species